rnacentral:rRNA from 1 species
CCUACGGGAGACAGCAGUGGGGAAUAUUGGGCAAUGGGCGAAAGCCUGACCCAGCAACGCCGCGUGAAGGAAGAAGGCUCUCGGGACGUAAACUUCUAUUGUCAGGGAAGAGUAGAAGACGGUACCUGAAGAAUAAGCCACGGCUAACUACGUGCCAGCAGCCGCGGUAAUACGUAGGUGGCACGCGUUGUCCGGAUUUACUGGGUGUAAAGGGCGUGUAGGCGGGUUGACAAGUCAGAUGUGAAAUCCUGCGGCUUAACCGCAGAACUGCAUUUGAAACUGUUGAUCUUGAGUACUGGAGAGGCAGAUGGAAUUCCUAGUGUAGCGGUGAAAUGCGUAGAUAUUAGGAGGAACACCAGUGGCGAAGGCGGUCUGCUGGACAGCAACUGACGGUGAGGCGCGAAAGCGUGGGGAGCAAACAGGAUUAGAUACCCUUGUAGUC